CCUACGGGAGGCAGCAGUGGGGAAUAUUGGGCAAUGGGCGCAAGCCUGACCCAGCAACGCCGCGUGAAGGAAGAAGGCUCUCGGGUUGUAAACUUCUUUUAUCAGGGACGAAGCAAGUGACGGUACCUGAUGAAUAAGCCACGGCUAACUACGUGCCAGCAGCCGCGGGAAUACGUCGGUGGCAAGCGUUAUCCGGCUUUACUGGGUGUAAAGGGCGAGUAGGCGGGAAAGCAAGUCAGAUGUGAAAACCAUGGGCUCAACCUGUGGCCUGCAGUUGAAACUGGUUUUCUUGAGUACUGGAGAGGCAGGCGGAAUUCCUGGUGUAGCGGUGAAAUGCGUAGAUAUUAGGAGGAACGCCAGUGGCGAAGGCGGUCUGCUGGACAGCAACUGACGCUGAGGCGCGAAAGCGUGGGGAGCAAACAGGAUUAGAUACCCUUGUAGUC
rnacentral:rRNA from 1 species